rnacentral:rRNA from 1 species
GAUGAACGCUGGCGGCGUGCUUAACACAUGCAAGUCGAACGAUGAAGCCCAGCUUGCUGGGUGGAUUAGUGGCGAACGGGUGAGUAACACGUGAGUAACCUGCCCUUCACUCUGGGAUAAGCCUGGGAAACUGGGUCUAAUACCGGAUAGGAGCGUCCACCGCAUGGUGGGUGUUGGAAAGAUUUAUCGGUUUUGGAUGGACUCGCGGCCUAUCAGCUUGUUGGUGAGGUAAUGGCUCACCAAGGCGACGACGGGUAGCCGGCCUGAGAGGGUGACCGGCCACACUGGGACUGAGACACGGCACAGACUCCUAAGGGAGGCAGCAGUGGGGAAUAUUGCAUAAUGGGCGCAAGCCUGAUGCAGCGACGCCGCGUGAGGGAUGACGGCCUUCGGGUUGUAAACCUCUUUCAGUAGGGAAGAAGCGAAAGUGACGGUACCUUCAGAAGAAGCACCGGCUAACUACGUG